rnacentral:rRNA from 1 species
UACGUAGGUGGCAAGCGUUGUCCGGAGUUAUUGGGCGUAAAGCGCGCGCAGGCAGUGCGGUAAGUCUCUGGUGAAAGCGCUCGGCUUAACUGGGCGAGGGCCGGGGAGACUGCCACGCUGGAGGGGAGCAGAGGCGAGUGGAAUUCCGGGUGUAGUGGUGAAAUGCGUAGAGAUCCGGAGGAACACCAGUGGCGAAGGCGGCUCGCUGGGCUCUACCUGACGCUGAGGCGCGAAAGCGUGGGGAGCAAACAGG